rnacentral:rRNA from 1 species
GGCAGCAGUAGGGAAUAUUGCCCAAUGGGCGAAAGCCUGAGGCAGCAACGCCGCGUGCGCGAUGAAGGCCUUCGGGUUGUAAAGCGCUUUUCUGGGGGAAGAGGAAGGACGGUACCCCAGGAAUAAGUCUCGGCUAACUACGUGCCAGCAGCCGCGGUAAAACGUAGGAGGCAAGCGUUAUCCGGAUUUACUGGGCGUAAAGCGCGUGUAGGCGGUUUGGUAAGUCGGACGUGAAAUCUCCCGGCUCAACUGGGAGAGGCCGUUCGAGACUGCCAGACUUGAGGGCAGUAGAGGGAGGUGGAAUUCUGGGUGUAGCGGUGAAAUGCGUAGAUAUCCAGAGGAACACCAGUGGCGAAGGCGGCCUCCUGGCCUGUCCCUGACGCUCAGACGCGAAAGCUAGGGGAGCAAACGGGAUUAGAAACCCCGGUAGUCCUAGCCGUAAACGAUGCAGACUUGGUGUUGGUGGUUUAAAAACCAUCAGUGCCGGAGCUAACGCGGUAAGUCUGCCGCCUGGGGACUACGGUCGCAAGGCUAAAACUCAAAUGAAUUGACGG